rnacentral:rRNA from 1 species
AAUCAACGCUGGCGGCGUGCCUCAGACAUGCAAGUCGAACGAUUAAAGCUCCCUUCGGGGAGUGCAUAAAGUGGCGCACGGGUGAGUAACACGUAAGUAAUCUACCCUCGAGUGGGGAAUAACGUCCGGAAACGGACGCUAAUACCGCAUAAUGCAGCGGCCCCGCAAGGUGACAGUUGUUAAAGAUUUAUCGCUUGAGGAGGAGGUUGCGGCAGAUUAGCUAGUUGGUAAGGUAAUGGCUUACCAAGGCCGCGAUCUGUAACCGGUAUAAGAGGACGGUCGGGCACACUGACACUGAAUAACGGGUCAGACUCCUACGGGAGGCAGCAGUCGGGAAUUUUGGGCAAUGGGCGAAAGCCUGACCCAGCAACGCCGCGUGAAGGAUGAAGUAUUUCGGUAUGUAAACUUCGAAAGAAUGGGAAGAAUAAAUGACGGUACCAUUUAUAAGCUCCGGCUAACUACGUGCCAGCCGCCGCCGUAACAC